CCCAUUUACUUCUACUUAUACUCAGUUACAUAGUACGACUAUAAGUUCACCUCAAGUAUACUUCUUGACGACACAUACCUUGAGCCCUCGCCCCUUAUCCUGUAAGCCCUACAAAGUACUCUUAUUUUUUACCAUAGGCCACCGCCGUAGCUAUUGCUAGUCAUCCUAGAUAUCUCUUCACGAUAUAUCUUAAUCUAUGAUAGUGGCACUACCUCCUGACUUAGUGAACAAGCUCAGAAGCACUGUAUAAGCCCCGACCUUACCUUAUACCCAGUGAGAAGCUUGCUAGGUUAGAGACUCGGUAGCACUAUAUUGCAGUUGGCAGUUGGAGUGUACUACAUAUAGAUGAUGGGAUGGAUGACCACACCUGCUGUGGGUUGAGUUGCAUCACUGCACUCAUAGAUAUAGUUAUCACUAUAAGUGCAAUCAUUUAAGAAAUGAUUAUGUUAAUAUUUUGUUAUGAACUUAUGAAUAAUCUGAUGAUCAUGGUGUUUGCUUAUAAAUUAUCACAGCAUCAAAGAGUCAGACAGAAGAAAUUAAGAUGUGAAAGCAGUAUUGAAAAAAUCUUUCACAGAAUAGAGUGGAUUUCUACUCAUAUUCAAAAGAUUAUAGAGCUA
rnacentral:sRNA from 2 species